rnacentral:rRNA from 1 species
GACGAACGCUGGCGGCGUGCCUAAUACAUGCAAGUUGAGCGAUGAAGAUUGGUGCUUGCACCAAUUUGAAGAGCAGCGAACGGGUGAGUAACGCGUGGGGAAUCUGCCUUUGAGCGGGGGACAACAUUUGGAAACGAAUGCUAAUACCGCAUAAUAACUUUAAACAUAAGUUUUAAGUUUGAAAGAUGCAAUUGCAUCACUCAAAGAUGAUCCCGCGUUGUAUUAGCUAGUUGGUGAGGUAAAGGCUCACCAAGGCGAUGAUACAUAGCCGACCUGAGAGGGUGAUCGGCCACAUUGGGACUGAGACACGGCCCAAACUCCUACGGGAGGCAGCAGUAGGGAAUCUUCGGCAAUGGACGAAAGUCUGACCGAGCAACGCCGCGUGAUUGAAGAAGGUUUUCGGAUCGUAAAACUCUGUUGGUAGAGAAGAACGUUGGUGAGAGUGGAAAGCUCAUCAAGUGACGGUAACUACCCAGAAAGGGACGGCUAACUACGUG